rnacentral:rRNA from 1 species
UACGGAGGGUGCGAGCGUUGUCCGGAAUCACUGGGCGUAAAGGGCGCGUAGGCGGCUUCGCAAGUGGAAGGUGAAAUCCCUCGGCUUAACCGAGGAACUGCCCUCCAAACUGCGUGGCUUGAGUCCGGGAGAGGUGAGUGGAAUUCCCAGUGUAGCGGUGAAAUGCGUAGAUAUUGGGAGGAACACCAGUGGCGAAGGCGGCUCACUGGACCGGAACUGACGCUGAGGCGCGAAAAGCGUGGGGGAGCAAACGGGG